CUAGUCGGGGUGUCUUCUAGAAAUGAGGCAUCAGGGACCGUUGGGCCGAUUGUUGCCCAAAAGAAACCUCAAUUCUAUUCCUUUCUUUUUGUAUUCUUCAGUCGAUUGGUAUUGGCUGGCGGUGGCACGGGAGAUGGAUUUGAAAAGGUUGAUGAGGUUUGGUGAAUUGUUUGUGAAUGUUUGCAUGCAAGGUAGUUUGAUUUCAAAACCUUUUUCUUGUUAGAGUAGCAUUAGCUAAAGAAGAUUUGAAAUUUUGAGAUGGGGAUUUCGUGAGGGGGACAUUAAAGGAUGACUGUAGCAAAUUUUCGAGCUAAAAUUGUUAAGCUCUAUUCUUUUCAACAAAAAAGUUUAAUUAUUAAUUCAUUUGCAAGUAUCAAUACAUUUGCAUCACUAUAGUCACGUAUGACUACUGCAUAGUUGAAUCUCAAACUUCAAAUCCUACACUACAAAUAUCACUAUAUUUUUGAGCAAAUUAAUGAAACCUAUUAUAUUAUUUUAUUGAUAAAUAAAAUAAAGUACAAAUUGAAGCAAAGAAAUGAGAAAGCAAAAAAAAGAAAGGAAAGAGCAAAGAUAAACAGAGGAGACGAAUGGGGGACAUGGGAUGUCCAAGCCCAAGAAACCAUACAAUCCAAUUCCGGUCCAAUAAAUAAAUCUAAUCCAGCACAAUUCCAGUUUAAACAGAGCAUUGACACAACAACUAGCCCAACCUAAAUGGCCUACUGCAUUCUUUUUCCCCAUAAUUUCUGACAAAAAUAUGUCGGUUCUCAUAUUUUCUUUGUAAAUGUAAGUGUCUAUUUACAAGUAUAUCGCUUUGUGGGAAACACAAAUCUUAUGAUUGACAGGUGCCUAUUGUGCCAGAUUAACAAGAUAUUAUUACCUACACUGUAUGCACUACGGCGCGCAGGCAGCUAAUCACGGUCGUUGAUUUCUAUGGGCUUUAUACAUCGAAUACGCCCAUCAUCAUAAGAACUAGCGAUUGUGAUUAGCUGCAAGCAUGGCCAUAUUAGGCAAUAAUUUUUCCGGAUUGACCAGGCCAAUAAAAUGCUCGAGUAUAAAUUAAUUGUUUUGACAACUCAGUCAAGAUAAUUGUACAAUUUCUAAUAAUAAAAGCAUGAAGGGAUCUCUCCGUUGGUUGAUAUAAAUCUACUGCAUAAAGAAUCAAGUUCUGCUAAAACUCUUGAACC
rnacentral:lncRNA from 1 species